rnacentral:sRNA from 1 species
CUUCGGUAACUUGCUGAGGACAAAUGUAGUGCACGUGUGCGUCAAUAGCGCCUGCAGUAACGAUGAGCUUCUCUCCUGCUAUCACUUCGGUCGACGACCCGAUGACGAGACUGGGAUGAACAUUUGCCAUGACAUCUGGAUUGCCUGCGUUGCCUAUCGCAGCGAUUCUGCCACCUUUGACGCCAAUAUCCGCCUAACAAAUUAGCGGAUGUCAUAAGGUUUCGCCAUGAACUCACUUUGUAUAUCCCAGUCCAGUCGACAAUGAGGGCAUUCGUGAUAACAAGAUCUAACGUGUCGGCCGAACGUCUGUUCGUGGCCUGACCCAUGCCUUCACGGAUG